UCGAGCGGUAGAGAGAAGCUUGCUUCUCUUGAGAGCGGCGGACGGGUGAGUAAUGCCUAGGAAUCUGCCUGGUAGUGGGGGAUAACGUUCGGAAACGGACGCUAAUACCGCAUACGUCCUACGGGAGAAAGCAGGGGACCUUCGGGCCUUGCGCUAUCAGAUGAGCCUAGGUCGGAUUAGCUAGUUGGUGAGGUAAUGGCUCACCAAGGCGACGAUCCGUAACUGGUCUGAGAGGAUGAUCAGUCACACUGGAACUGAGACACGGUCCAGACUCCUACGGGAGGCAGCAGUGGGGAAUAUUGGACAAUGGGCGAAAGCCUGAUCCAGCCAUGCCGCGUGUGGGAAGAAGGUCUUCGGAUUGUAAAGCACUUUAAGUUGGGAGGAAGGGCAGUAAAUUAAUACUUUGCUGUUUUGACGUUACCGACAGAAUAAGCACCGGCUAACUCUGUGCCAGCAGCCGCGGUAAU
rnacentral:rRNA from 1 species